UACGUAGGGGGCUAGCGUUGUCCGGAAUCAUUGGGCGUAAAGAGCGUGUAGGCGGCCCGGUAAGUCCGCUGUGAAAGUCGGGGGCUCAACCCUCGAAUGCCGGUGGAUACUGCAGGGCUAGAGUCCGGAAGAGGCGAGUGGAAUUCCUGGUGUAGCGGUGAAAUGCGCAGAUAUCAGGAGGAACACCUGCGGUGUAGACGGCUUACUGGACCAUAACUGACGCUGAGGCACGAAAGCGUGGGUAGCAAACAGG
rnacentral:rRNA from 1 species